AGAUGUAAGGGUCAUCUAGCUGUUAAUAUCUGUCACCCACUGAUCACCUGGGUUGACUGAUCUGGCUGGCCACAUGGGUGGCCCUUUCCUCCUUCACUACUCUACCUGCAUCCCACCUGAACUGCAGGCUUGGGUGGAGGAGGUCAACAUUCCUGAUUCUCUGGUUAAGGGUAUAAAAGCAGCUGUGCUCCCCUACUAGACCUUCACACAAGCUCUCAAGGUCAAAGGUAAACAUCACUAUGGUUUCAAUACUCUGGCUCUCUUUUUUCCUUGAUCAGUAGGUAAGGGUGCAAUAAAUACAACUUUUGUU
rfam:Ictidomys tridecemlineatus contig002738, whole genome shotgun sequence.